rnacentral:SRP_RNA from 1 species
AUUAGUUAAGCCGGCAAUACUGACGUGUAGACCUGGUCAGGUCCGGAAGGAAGCAGCCAAUGCAAAAAACGUAUGUGUUGGCAACUUACUAAUAGG